rnacentral:rRNA from 1 species
GAUGAACGCUAGCGGCAGGCUUAACACGUGCAAGUCGAGGGGUAGAGGUUGCUUGCAACCUUGAGACCGGCGCACGGGUGCGUAACGCGUAUGCAACCUACCUUUUACAGAGGGAUAGCCCAGAGAAAUUUGGAUUAAUACCUCAUAGUAUAUAACCUUCGCAUGUUGGAUAUAUUAAAGUUCCAACGGUAAAAGAUGGGCAUGCGUCCUAUUAGCUAGAUGGUAAGGUAACGGCUUACCUUGGCAACGAUAGGUAGGGGUCCUGAGAGGGAGAUCCCCCACACUGGUACUGAGACACGGACCAGACUCCUACGGGAGGCAGCAGUGAGGAAUAUUGGACAAUGGGCGCAAGCCUGAUCCAGCCAUGCCGCGUGCAGGAAGAAGCAUCUAUGGUGUGUAAACUGCUUUUGUACAGGAAGAAACACCCCGACGUGUCGGGACUUGACGGUACUGUAAGAAUAAGGAUCGGCUAACUCCGUGCCAGCCGCCGCCGUAAUAC